rnacentral:snRNA from 1 species
ACAAAGGGUGUUGGUCGA